CCUUUAUUUUUAUUUUAAAGAAGGUGAGGGAAAUGGUAAAUAAUUUCAAAUUUUAUAGGCCGCAAAAGAUAAGUACCGUGAAUUGGCCGUGGAAGGGAUGCACAGAGAACUUGUGUUCCGGUUUAUUGAAGUUCAGACACUUCUCCUCGCUCCAUUCUGUCCACAUUUGUGUGAGCACAUCUGGACACUCCUGGGAAAGGUCCUGUGGAUGAAGUUUUAAUACACUCCUCACAGUAUCUUAUGGAAGUAACACAUGACCUUAGACUACGACUCAAGAACUAUAUGAUGCCAGCUAAAGGGAAGAAGACUGACAAACAACCCCUGCAGAAGCCCUCACAUUGCACCAUCUAUGUGGCAAAGAACUAUCCACCUUGGCAACAUACCACCCUGUCUGUUCUACGUAAAUACUUUGAGGCCAAUAACGGAAAACUGCCUGACAACAAAGUCAUUGCUAGUGAACUAGGCAGUAUGCCAGAACUGAAGAAAUACAUGAAGAAAGUCAUGCCAUUUGUUGCCAUGAUUAAGGAAAAUCUGGAGAAGAUGGGGCCUCAUAUUCUGGAUUUGCAAUUAGAAUUUGAUGAAAAGGCUGUGCUUAUGGAGAAUAUAGUCUAUCUGACUAAUUCGCUUGAGGUA
rnacentral:sRNA from 1 species